rnacentral:rRNA from 1 species
UUAUUUAUUUUAUUAUAUUUAUUUUUUGUUUAUUUAAUUAUUUAAUAAAAAUAAUUUUAUUGAAUUUUGUCUUAGUAUAUUUUGUAGAAUUGAUUUUUUAAAUUAUAGUUUAUUGGUAAUGUAAUUGUUUUAUGAAAUAUUAUUUUAAAUUUUUAAAAGUAUAUUUUAUUUAUUGUACCUUUUGUAUCAGGGUUUAUCAAAAUUUUAGUAUUUAAUUUACUUGUCUCGAUUUGGGUUGAUUUAUAAAUAAUUUAYAGUUAAUGUAUCAUAAUUAUUAUUAAAUUAUUUAUGGAAAUGAAAUGUUAAUCGUUUCCCAAGAUAUCUAGUUUCUUAAGAAAAAUUUUAAUUUUUUAAAGUUAAUUGUUUUUAUUUAAUUUUUUAAUUAUAAAUAUUAACUUAUUUAUUCUUUAAGGGAUAAGCUUUGAAGUUAAUAACCUAUAAUUUGUUUUGUAAAAUAUAAUAGUAAGCUUUAAACCAGCUAUCUUUAAGAUUACGUUUUAGUUCAUUAUUUUCUAUUUUGAUUUUAUAAUUAUUUUAGGUUUUUUAUUARGAUUAUUUAUUUAAUUUUAAAAUUUUUGUAAUAAUGAUAGAAUUAGUAUAUUUACUUGUAUAUAAUUUUUACCUUGUGAAUUUAUAAUAAGGAACUAGGCAAAAUUGAUUUCCGCCUGUUUAUCAAAAACAUGUCCUCUUGAAAAUACUUUGAGGUCUGGCCUGCUCACUGAGCGGAUUUUUAAAGAGCCGCGGUAUUUUGACCGUGCAAAGGUAGCAUAAUCAUUAGUCUCUUAAUUAGUGGCUGGAAUGAAUGGCUUGACGAGAAAUCAACUGUCUCUUAAUAAAUUUUUGAAUNNNNNUUGUUUUGAUCCAUAAUUUAUGAUCAUAAGAUUAAGUUACCUUAGGGAUAACAGCGUAAUUGUUUUUGAGAGCUCAUAUCGACAAAGCNGAUUGCGACCUCGAUGUUGGAUUAAG